rnacentral:rRNA from 1 species
GAUGAACGCUGGCGGCGUGCCUAAUACAUGCAAGUCGAACGGACAGACGAGGAGCUUGCUCCUCUGACGUUUGCGGGGGACGGGUGUGAAACACGUGGAAAACCCACCUAUAAGACUGGGAUAACUUAGGGAAACCGGAGCUAAUACCGGAUAAUAUAUUGAACCUCAUGGGUCAAUAGUGAAAGACGGUGGUUCUGUCAGUAAUAGCUGGAUCCGCGCCGCUUUGGGUUGGUGGGAAGGUAACGGCUUAUCAAGGCAACGAUGCGUAGCCGACCUGAGAGGGGGAUCGCCCACACUGGAAGGGAGACACGGCCCAGACUCCUACGGGAGGCAGCAGUAGGGAAUCUUCCGCAAUGGGCGAAAGCCUGACGGAGCAACGCCGCGUGAGUGAUGAAGGUCCUCGGUUCGUAAAACUCUGUUAUUGGGGAAAAACAAAUGUGUAAGUAAAUAUACACGUCUUGACGGUACCGAAUCAGAAAGCCACGGCUAACUACGUG